rnacentral:pre_miRNA from 1 species
AGCUUUUCGAAUCCGUGCAGAGACUUCGUCAGACACCGACCCAUUAGGGUUGAUCAGACUUCCAAGGUAAGUGAAGUU